UAAAAGUUGAGUUUGGUGAUGGCUCUGAUUGAAUGCUGUCCAAGUGCUUGACACAUGCUAAUCGUACGUUUUAAUUGAUAAAUUAAAAAGUGGUGUACAGGUGCGUAUAAUGAUAUUCUUCGCCGGCCUUAAAGUGGAGGUAAAUCCUUCAUAAUAAAUAAAGGAAAGAUAUAAUAAAAAAAAAAUUAGGGUAUAGACAAGGACAAGUGUUGAGGGGGGAAAACCCUCAGCAAGUUGACUCCCUUAUAUAUUUUUUUUUUGCUCUUUUUUUUCUGCUUUAAGAGGAUAAUAAAUAUCUUCGAGAUAGGUAGUAGUUAAGGUGAUGACUUAACUAGCCUUAAACUCUCGUAGUCGAAUCUGAAAGGUUGAUCGACCACAUUGGGUCUGAAAAAACCCCAAUGCAAGUUAGUACAGCAGUGAGGAAUCUUGGUCAAUGGCCUAACGGCUGAACUGGCAACUUGGAGAAGUGGCAAGUCUUCCAGUAUGGGGAGCAAACAGCUAUGGGUCAAGCCCGAUACCUUUAAGAGAAGUCUUAUUGUGAGGGCGAGUUGUAUAACACCAUAGGGCUGGCCGUCCCAUAUGAAAAGAUUUUAUUAGAAUUGAAUGAAACUUUGUUUAUAUAUUGAUAAUGACAGUAUAUAUAUCGUGUCUUGACUAAUUGCGUGCCAGCAGUCGCGGUAAUACGUAAGAGACUAGUGUUAUUCAUCUUAAUUAGGUUUAAAGGGUACCCAGACGGUCUAUAUAGCUUAUAAAAUGUUAGUAUAAGACUAGAGUUUUAUGUAAGAGGGCAGUACUUGAGGAGGAGAGAUGAAAUUUCGUGAUACCAAAGGGACUCUGUAAAGGCGAAGGCAGCCCUCUAUGUAAAAACUGACGUUGAAGGACGAAGGCACAGAGAACAAACAGGAUUAGAUACCCAAGUAGUCUUUGCAGUAAAUGAUGAAUGCCAUAGGUUAGAUCUAUAUUUCUAUUAUAAUAAUACAUUUCUAUUAUUUAUUCUAAAACGCAUUCCUUAUAUAGCUUCGCGCUAUAAUAUAUUUUAUAUAUAGUGCAGCAGAAAUUAGAAAUUUUUGUAUCUGGUCUAUAAAUGAAAGUGUAAGCAUUUCACCUCAAGAGUAAUGUGGCAACGCAGGAACUGAAAUCACUAGACCGUUUCUGACACCAGUAGUGAAGUAUGUUGUUUAAUUCGAUGAUCCACGAAAAACCUUACCACAAUUUGAAUAAUUUUAUUACAGGAGUUGCACGGCUGUUUCCAGUUAAUGUUGUGAAACUGUGGUUUCCAUGAAAUUAACGUAAUCCCUGGCUUUAUUUUUUUUAUUUACGAUAAAGCAUUCAGUCCUGGAAAUUUGGAAAGAAAAAGGGGACAAAGACAAGUCAUCAUGGCCUUGAUAUUGUGGGCUAUAGACGUGCCACAUAUACCUAAACAAAGAGAUGCGAAAAUGUGAAUUUAAGCUAAUCUCAAAAAAUAGGAUAUAAAUUUUAAGGAUUGUAGUCUGAAAUUCGACUAUAUGAAUAAGUAAUUACUAGUAAUCGUGAAUCACCAUGUCACGGUGAAUAGACCUUGGAUUGGUACUAACCACUCGUCACAUGCUGAAAGGGGCAUGCGCAAUAAGUUUGCUUUCUUAGUAACAAGUAAAAAAAACAAAUAGGUUUUAUAUAUUCUUUUAUUGGGAAUCUUCGUAUGCGUGGCUCUAAUUAGUGUUAAGUCGAAAUACGGUUCGGGUAGUGGAAGUUGCCCGGGAUUAAUUAAUAUUA
rnacentral:rRNA from 1 species